UGGCAGUUAAGGGACAAAAAUACCUAGAAGUCCACCUCCCUUGCAGUGGAGGCCAGUAUCUCCACUGACCAUUCACUCUGCCCCCACUCAUGUUUUUCCCUCAAUUAAUCUUGUCCAUAAAUUCUUUGCUCACUAGCUCCCUCUGACUGGAAGGCUUGCCCACUCCUAACACAUACAAGUUCUUUAUGGAUCGGUUCAAACCUGCCUCCUCUAGGAAGCCUUCUCUUAAUCUUAGCCCACAGGAUCCCUCCUUCCUCACAACCUAGAGCAGUUUGCAACACAUGAGAAUGCUUAAUUUUUCAGUCUGAUACAAUUAUUUUCUUCAAUCUUCCCUAAAUUUCUCAGUGGCAGAGACAGUUUCCUUCUGUUACCUCUACUUCCUGAAAGCCCCUCAGGAGGUUGGCAGGUAGUAGGCAUUGACUGAUUCUUGCCUAAGGGCCUGCUGGUUAGAAAAAGACCUAUUAGCAGUCAGUCAGACAAUGUGGGGAUGGGCAUGUGGCUCCAGGAGGCAGUGCCUUAGGCUGCAUUUAGGUGCCCUGCACCGAAGGAGGGCCUGUUUGCCUGUGUUCUCUGCUCACAUCCAGAAAUGUGAGCUCUGCAUCAGGGGCUGUCCAUGACAGGACAUGUCCUCACGUCAGGGACCAGUACAGCUGGUCCGAUCUGGAUGCGAGCCCUAGAAGGCAGGUACUGUAUCAUAUCUUGCACUUCUCCACCAUACCUUCUUGAGGUACUCAGUGCUGUGUUGAGCAUGUGGUGUUCCACAUAUUCUCAUUAUUUUUUGAAUCAAAUAACUGAUUCAGUUUAGUUGAACUCUGAAGGGGGUAAAGAGGGAACUAUUUUGAUGUUCCAAUUUUUUGUUUCUGUUUAAUAAGCUAAGUGUGGUUCUCACUCCAAUUUGCUUACCACCUUUUCUAUUUUAUCAUCGUUCUUCUACACUAGACUCUACACUCCAAGAAGGCAGAGAUGAUCUUUUUCAUAACCAUAUUCCUGUCACCUAGCAUAGUACCUGGGAGAUAGCUCUUCUUGCUGCCCUCAUCGAUUCCCAGAGAUGCCUCCCUUUACGGCUGAGCUCAGCCCUCAACUCCAGGCCUGCAUCUCCUCCUGGAUGUCCUACAGGCACAUGCCGCAAAGGGCAACCUGCAUCAUCUCCCAAACGCGUCUAUGUGCUGUUUCCUAUCCAGUAAAUGGUAUCACCUGCCUGGUAA